rnacentral:rRNA from 1 species
UACGUAGGGCGCAAGCGUUGUCCGGAAUUAUUGGGCGUAAAGAGCUCGUAGGCGGUUUGUCGCGUCUGCUGUGAAAACUCGGGGCUUAACUCCGGGCCUGCAGUGGGUACGGGCAGACUAGAGUGCGGUAGGGGAGACUGGAAUUCCUGGUGUAGCGGUGAAAUGCGCAGAUAUCAGGAGGAACACCGGUGGCGAAGGCGGGUCUCUGGGCCGAUACUGACGCUGAGGAGCGAAAGCGUGGGGAGCGAACAGG